AGAGUUUGAUCAUGGCUCAGAUUGAACGCUGGCGGCAUGCCUUACACAUGCAAGUCGAACGGCAGCACGGGUACUUGUACCUGGUGGCGAGUGGCGAACGGGUGAGUAAUACAUCGGAACGUACCUUAUCGUGGGGGAUAACGCAGCGAAAGCUGUGCUAAUACCGCAUACGCCCUGAGGGGGAAAGCGGGGGAUCGAAAGACCUCGCGCGAUUAGAGCGGCCGAUGCCUGAUUAGCUUGUUGGUGGGGUAAAAGCCCACCAAGGCGACGAUCAGUAGCUGGUCUGAGAGGGCGACCGGCCACACUGGGACUGAGACACGGCCCAGACUCCUACGGGAGGCAGCAGUAGGGAAUAUUGGGCAAUGGGCGAAAGCCUGACCCAGCGACGCCGCGUGAGGGAUGAAGGUCUUCGGAUUGUAAACCUCUUUCAGUAGGGAAGAAGCGAAAGUGACGGUACCUAAAGAAGAAGCACCGGCUAACUAUGUGCCAGCAGCCGCGGUAAUACAUAGGGUGCAAGCGUUGUCCGGAAUUAUUGGGCGUAAAGAGCUCGUAGGUCGUUUGUCGCGUCGAUUGUGAAAAUCUGAGGCUCAACCUCAGACCUGCAGUCGAUACGGGCAAACUAGAGUGUGGUAGGGGAGACUGGAAUUCCUGGUGUAGCGGUGGAAUGCGCAGAUAUCAGGAGGAACACCAAUGGCGAAGGCAGGUCUCUGGGCCAUAACUGACACUGAGGAGCGAAAGUGCGGGGAGCGAACAGGAUUAGAUACCCUGGUAGUCCGCACCGUAAACGGUGGGCACUAGUUGUGGGAACCUUCCACGGUUUCCGCGACGCAGCAAACGCAUUAAGUGCCCCGCCUGGGGAGUACGAUCGCAAGAUUAAAACUCAAAGGAAUUGACGGGGCCCCGCACAAGCAGCGGAGCAUGCGGCUUAAUUCGACGCAACGCGAAGAACCUUACCAAGGCUUGACAUAUAGUGAAAAGUGGCAGAGAUGUCAUGUCCGCAAGGGCGCUAUACAGGUGGUGCAUGGUUGUCGUCAGCUCGUGUCGUGAGAUGUUGGGUUAAGUCCCGCAACGAGCGCAACCCUUGUCAUUAGUUGCUACGAAAGGGCACUCUAAUGAGACUGCCGGUGACAAACCGGAGGAAGGUGGGGAUGACGUCAAGUCCUCAUGGCCCUUAUGGGUAGGGCUUCACACGUCAUACAAUGGUCGGGACAGAGGGUCGCCAACCCGCGAGGGGGAGCCAAUCCCAGAAACCCGAUCGUAGUCCGGAUCGUAGUCUGCAACUCGACUACGUGAAGUCGGAAUCGCUAGUAAUCGCGGAUCAGCAUGUCGCGGUGAAUACGUUCCCGGGUCUUGUACACACCGCCCGUCACACCAUGGGAGUGGGUUUCACCAGAAGUAGUUAGCCUAACCGCAAGGGGGGCGAUUACCACGGUGGGGUUCAUGACUGGGGUGAAGUCAUAACAAGGUAACCGUA
rnacentral:rRNA from 1 species